rnacentral:snRNA from 1 species
GGGUGUGAGGGUAGUCUGGCCACAUCUGUCACCUCAUUGAUCGCCACACUGGCUUCAUUAGUUCUGGCUGGCUAGGCGGAAGUCCCCUUCCUCCCUUACCUCUCCUUGUUUCUCCUCUUCAGCUGCACGCUGUCAAAGCUGGCGUCUUUCCCUAAUAGACUGCGCUAUUCUUUGGAGAAGAGGAUAUACUA